UGGGUGACAUGUAAACAGUUUUGAUUGAGGGCCGUUUGGAUUAGAGGGUUUUAUAUAUGGAGAUACUUUGGAGCACAGUUGGUUCCUGUUAGAAAAUCACAAAUUUUUAUUAAUAAUGGACCAGCAGGAAAGUAGCAUUCAUAACAAAAUUAUUGUAAAUUCAUACUGCUCCCAAUCCCACAUGAGACUGAAUUAGUCACUAAUGAAAGUGUCAAGAUAAUGUUGAGGAAUGAUUGGAGCCUCGCCAGCCUACACAUCACAAGUGGAUGGAGCUUCACACCAAUUUACCCAACAACCAGCUCAGGAACCCCC
rnacentral:lncRNA from 1 species